GUCCCACAGAUACAGUAAAGCUAAGGAAGUUUCUUGCUUUUAACUGGCAUGAAUGGGCCUUUUGUAGCCCCGAAAAAAAAAAAAAUUGAAACUCUGUUAGCAGGAAGAAAGCAAGAAUGGGCACUGGCCUGUGAUAAGCCAUGUCUGCUGAAGCAUCCUAGGCAGGGCCAUGGCAAGUGCGAAGUCCCUUGUGGGAUAAUAGGUCCAGCUUGUAAAACAGAAGACCAGGGUGUAGGAGUGCAGGGAACACGACGGAAGCACAGCCCAGGAAGACUGUGAUAUUACCUUUAUUUUACAAAUAAUGAAGUAAACUCAGUAGGUUAAGUUGACUCAGCUAAAUUCACAGAUUAGGAAUGAGAGGAGACACAAUUAUAACCCAGCUUGAUCUGACUCCUAAAUUCAUGCCUGUAACCCCUGUACUCUGCUGCUGUCUUCAUAUCCCUGCUUUAACAAUAUGCCUCUGAGUAUGAGCUGACAGAAUCCAUUCUUCCAAAUCCAUUCCGGUUAUUACCUACUGUCCUAUUCACUCACAUUUAUAGGAAGUGUUUAUUUGUUCUAAUAUUUUCAUUUAUUUCAAAGUUCUAGAUAGAGAGAACUCUAUGUCUUUCUUUGCCUACCUAAUAUGCAUAGAAGAAAAAAAUAUUAAAACUGAAAAUGACUAUCUUCAUCUGAUGCUGAGGUUUGGGGUGAAAAUUCAUAUUAGUGGGAAAGCAGAUCUCUAUACUGCUCCUUCUCACUCUGAGAUACCUGGGGAGGGAGAAAAGACAACACUGAAAUGUCAAAGCUCCUGCCAGUUCCUCGGUGCUGAAACAUUAAUGAGCUUCUGAAUGUGCAAAGGUGGGCCCAGAGCCGAAGGAUGUUUGAGAGUUAAAUUGCUCUGCAUAAUCAAGGAAAGGUAAUUGAGUUUCCCGAGGAAUCAGAGAAUCAAGAGGUCUAGGAGAAGUGAGAAAGGCAGGGAGCUAUGAAGGUGGCUGCUGUCUAACCCCACAUGACGUCUCUCAUGAUUUCCACAUUACCAGCAACACUGUUCCCAAAUUCCUGACACAGAGCUAUAGCAAGCUCUCACAUGGGGGACAGCAGUGAGUGAGGAUUCUGUGGGUGACUCCUGUGGGUAAGCAUUGGGGAAAUACUUUCAGAUCACAUCCAGGAUAAACCAUUAUUUUCAAAUCUGGGAAGAUUAAAUAGAGAUGGUGAAUGUAAAAGAACCUGUGGGACCUGGCAGAGCAACUCUGAUAUUCUCCAGAGCAGCAGCAGACAGAAGCUGGGGCUGUUUGCUUACUCCUCUCGCCCUGAACAUUACCAACAUGCAGGCUGGGACUGUGAGACAACGCCAUCAGACAAGCGAGACGAUGCCAUCAGACAAGACAGGUGUUCCAGCGAUUGCUCUAGGCUUAUACAUAUUCACUACGAGGCCAUUCUAAUCUUCACCUACCUGCAUUCUUCUGAACUUGCAAAUAAAGGCAAUCAGGACUCUACCUGCUAGACUUGGAACAGAUCAGAUUUUGCAAGAGGCAUCAGGGUCUGGUUGAUUCUUUUUUUUUCCAGCCUGUGUUUAAUGAGAGUGCUCUCAAUAAAAACACAAAUUCAGAUUAGGUUUCUGUACUCAAUGUUUAUUAAUUUAGAUACUCUUUAAAAGAGCAUGUAAGCAUCUUGAGAAAUAAAUUUAGCUACUGUCACUUUAUAAAAGGAACAAGUGCAAUUAAAAAAGAAACAGGAAAUCGGCAAUGAUAUGGAAGGAAAGUGCUUCUGAGACCUGGAUGCUAUCAGCCCCACUGCAUACAACUGAGUGUGCUCCCUGCAGUGUUGCAAAGGGCUCAGAGAAAUCACAACUGGCCAAAUGUUAGAACCUUCCGCAGAGAAAUAAUGACAGAGGAAAGUCAGAAUCUCCAAGAAUGGAAGACCUAAUGCUCGGAGAUCUGCAGACAUCUUAAUAAAAGGAAUAUUCAGGAGGGAAGGUGCCAUUUUGACUUAGUUCAAGUUCUCUGCUGGGUUUCCUCCUCUACCCCCACCCUAGCAAGAGUCAACUCAGACCACAAAAUUUAAAUUAAAACACAAAAUGUUUAGCUGGUUUCUCCCAACUUGAAAAGGGGUUGACCUGGGAUCCCAGGUGAGAGAAAACGAGCUAUAUAAAAAUAAGGCUUCUUGGGAGGCCAAGGCAGGCAGAUUGCCUGAGGUCAGGAGUUCCAGACCAGACUGGCCAAUAUGGUGAAACCCUGUCUCUACUAAAAAUACAAAAAAAUUAGCUGGGCGUGGUGGCGGGUGCCUGUCCC
rnacentral:lncRNA from 1 species